UCGGGCGCACCCGGCGCAGGGAGGCGCUGGUCCCUCCGGGCGGCGGGCACUGCAGCGGUAACGCACGGUUCCUGCCGGUUGUGGCUCGGGGGACUGAGGGCCGGGAGUGGGGGCUUCUGUGAAGCCAGAAGAGAAGUCUGCAGCAGAGUGGUGAUGAGGGGCGCUGACACCUCACCCCCAACGCCGACGUCUCCAAACGCGAUACCCUCUGCGGGGUGAGAAUGCGGGCCCGCCCGGCUCCUCCCGUGAGGCCAGGGCCUCCUGUUCUCCUAGACACCCCAAGGAGCCAACUCCUCCGCAGAAGUUCCCCGCUUCUGCUCUUAUUUCCAAGCUUCGCGCUUUCUACAAACUCCCUGUUGCCUUGACUUUGAUUUCCAGCCGUGGUGAGGGUCAGAGUGAACCCCGGCGCGCUCCCCGACGGCAUCCCCGCACACCAGGAUAGGAGAAAUUGGAGGGCCUGGGGCCUCGGGCUCCGCAGUCGUCGGAGGAAGAACCCACCGCGGGGUCCGCAAGGGAAAGUGAAGAGGCCCGGGAUUUUUCCAAAGCGCUGGCCAGGACCCCGAAGGAAGGGGAGGAGUCACCUGAAGCCGGGGAAGGCCCCUUGGGUGCUCUGCCUUGGAUCCUUAUGUUCACUGACUUUCGCGAAGCCCCCCUGGAGGGGGGCAAAUCCGCGCUGUUUCCCCCAACUUAACUUCACGCGGCCCAUUCUCCGAAUCGCGUGCGCCAAGGCCGGCGUCGGGGGCGCACUGUGAUGGCGCUUUGCUCUUCCCAGGCGAAGACAAAUAUCUCGACCCGAUGUCCCCAUGCAUGCGGGUGCACAGGUUCUGAGAAAAUCACGCAGAAGGCGGCUGCGAUCCACGGCCCGGGCUGGGCUACACCUGCUUGGAGGUCGCUGGUGUGUGCGUGCGCGCGUGCGCAGCCUAACUCCUUCCAGCCCCGGGUGGUGAAAUUAGUUUCCAAUACUAGUACCUUUCAAGUUUCCAUUUAUUUUGACUGUACCCGUCUGAAAGCAGAUUUCAUUUACGCUAGCAAGACUGGAAGCCACAAAUAAAGAAAAAGAAACGGAUUCAUUGAAUCUCAGUAUCUCAGUAGCGUUUAAUAGAUUCCCUUGGCUAAAUUCAGAGCCCUGUUUGAAUUCACUCACGCAGGAGUUGUUUUGUUUUUUUUGUUGGUAGAGGUGCCGGUUUCCCAUCCCCACGGCUUAUUUACAAUUAUGGGUGUUGUUAUUUUUAAAGGAUUCACAAGGUGACUAACUCUCUGUUAUCUGUUGAAUGGAAGGAGUGUUACAUAUGCAAGACCGAAUGGGGCAGGCCGAGCCCCCGCCCUAUGCUAUUCUACAAUCCAGAUGGGAUUCGUGAUUAGAAAAUAAAAUUGGCCAAAGCUGUCUCGGAAUCCUUUUCCCACUUCUAAUUUCAUCAGCACUAUUAAUCAGAGCUCAAAAGAGCAAGGAAAUAACAUCAGUUACUUUUAGAUAGAAAUAUGUUUAUAAAUUUUAGAUAAACUCAUUUUAAGAUUUCUAACUUUUGGGGAGACUAGCACUCACCACAGCAUUUUUAAAACUAGGGUGAGACUUUUCAAAAUAUAUUUCACUAUAUGCAUUCUUCCCUUUUCAGUGUGUGAGUUAAAAUAUUACAAACAUAAAAUUAUCAAAUAUCUUUCCCUUGAUUAACCAACCUGAUUAACCCCUUAAUUAAUUAAGCCUAACAACUGUCCCCAUCACAACUUAUGACUCAUGUGGACUCUAUUUUUACAUGUUUAAUUUCUACGCCAGGGUAUUUUCAGAGGGAAAAUCCAAAACAAUUAAAUACCUUCAGUGGAAUUAAGCGUAAGUAAAACUCAGCAAAAUCUGUCUGGUAUACAAAGCUUUGCAG
rnacentral:lncRNA from 1 species